CUGAGCUCCACAUUCACAGUCCUGCCAUUCCCACGUCUCCACGGGGGGAUAAGCAGGGCCAAUGAAUUCCAUGCCAUGCCCUGGUUCGUGAGGCUGGUAGAAAUUCUUUGCAAUUUAAGACCACUGCUGUGACAUUACCUACAAGGCUUCUUUUCCAUGAAUCUGUUACAUCCAACAGUAGGAACCGGCGGGUCCGUGGCUGAUGGAUGCUACAAGUACUAACCAGCAACGAGAGCAUCUACCACAGCUGAACUACUGUUAUGUUGUUUACUUAUCGAGGGGUACAUUCUGUGACUAGCUCUGUGACUCUUUCGGAUGUGGUUAUGCUCAAAGGCUACAGGAAACUCAGUGUGAAAGUUGAUUAUGCAAAUUGCAUCAUUCUUGUCAUGCCCAACUAAAGAAGAGUUGACAGAGCAGCGGGAAAAAGUACUCAAGACACAGCACAUGCUCCAAGAAUUGAGUUUUCUCCAAGCCCAGCUGUUGAAACAGCCUGCUGUAACCAUAAGACCAGUUUUACUUAGCAGCUGCUGAAACAACCUGCUAUGACUUUAAGACUAGUUUUAUCUACUACCAUCACUCACCAAUCAGACCCGGGCAGCUCCCACAAGCUUCUCUAGGGUCAAUGAGCUUUCUUUCAAAACUGUAAGUAACAUUUCCCUUUCUAAUAAAACCCCCAAUCUUUCCUUUGUUCUUUGGACAUGCUGAAGACCACCCAGUCUGUUUGCAUGCCCCAAAUGUGAUUCUAUGAUUCCCAAAUAAAACAUUAAAUUUAGAGAUUUGUCUCUACAUUUUAUUUUGACUUUGACAUCAGCUUAAGUUUUUUUUUUUCCCACUUGCAUUUCUUGGCCUACAUGGUUUGGCAUAAUUUUAUUUUCUUUCCUGAAUCCUUCAUUACUUGAUUAGCAUUCCAUUGCUUACUGGUUUUAUACUUUGUAUGUGAGUCUUUUAUUGGAAAUGUCCUCAAAUCUGAGAAUUUAUACUCACCAGAUGUACACAUAUUAUAAAGGCAUUUAUGUCCAUAUAAUUUCCAGCACCUUGAAAUGAUGGAAAAUUAGAAACUUGCUCUAUGUCAACAUACACUGUUUAAAGUCUAUCUUUCCUGUUGAUGGUCAUCUCCAAGGAGAUCAGCAUAGGUCUGGUUUGUUUGAUUUUUUUAAACUACACUGCCUAACUAAAUCUCUGCAUUACUCAAGGUUUUAACAGAUAUUUUAAUUAAUUGGCUAAUUGUUUAUUUGUUACUUGUCAUGAGUUACAGAAAUCCAAGUAUGUUUCUCAAUUCAAUAAAAUUCCAAGUAGAAUUUCUUACCGAACUUUAGCCUUUCUACUAAAAGGGAAAUUGGAGAGAAUCCAAAUUCAAUAUUUUUAUGAACUCAAAGAUGUGAAUCUACAUUAUAAUAAAU
rnacentral:lncRNA from 10 species